CCGAUGAACACACACUAGGUCGAACACUAUCUGCAAAAGGGAAAUAAAGGGGUGACUCUCACAGACUCAGUAAUCAUCGGCUCCGUGAGUAGGAAGUAGAUGGGAAACAAGCUUAAGGCAGAUCAUUUGAAUGAUAAAUCCGAAAUAAAAGUAAUAAUCUUAGAAAAAUUAAAUCUCAAAUAGAGUGUUUUGCCUUGUAAAAAUGAUGCCGUAAAAUCAUCGUGCAAUAUUUCACUUGGCAAAACGAUGCUGAAAACAAGUGUAGCGAAACCAAGUUCAAUCAUAGCAAACAUCACUUACGAUCAAAAUACGAGAAACGGUAUAAAAAUAUGCACGUUCCCAAGUUGUGUGGCACGUAAAGAAAUCAAUUUAUAAAGCCACAUAAACCAGCUCAUGAUUGACAAGUAAGCACUGAAAGCUUUUAUUCAAAUAAAGGGAGCUACAUAGAAAAACCUUAACUCUCCACCAUGCAAAAGAGUACGCGUCGAAAAACUCACAAGGCUCUCGAGUAGGAAAGUAUAAUAUCAACACACGGACCCACUUCCACGUAAUAACAAUCCGGGAACACUGCUUCCACCGGAUUCCCACAUGUCAUGGCAGUCUCGAUGAUGUUGGCCGACAUCGGAGAAUCAAGUGGUCACAACCGUGAAUAUCACUUGUGGCCUAGCCAUAUAUAACAACCCGUGGCCUUGCCACGUAUAUCAUAGACCAUGGCCCCAGCCAUGUCUAUCAGCUUAUCAGUGACUCAAAGGUUCUCUAGCUAAAGCUCACUUGUGCACAAGAGUACACUUAACUAAAGUGACAUUUGACCUAAUCUCAACACUCUCGGUUUGUCAAAAUUGUUUUCAAAACCAAAUCAAGUUUUUCAAGACUUUUUCUUUUAAAUCUUUUGAAAUCAAGGUUUGAUAACCGGUCAAAUUGCAUUUCUCAUUAAUUGGAAUGGUGUAAACACGUGUACAAAGGUCGAAAUAAAACCGGUGCUCAAAACUUGUAUUUAAAUCAUUUUAACAAAUGCAUUUAGCUUUGCAGAUCACACAAAAAUACAAGGCACGAAUUUUGAUGAAAACAUCAUAAAAAGGCUUGUUUCUCUGUUUCUAAAACACUUUACAUAUAUAGAUUAUCUAUAGGCAUAUCCAAACCAACUUUCAAAACAACUUGCAUCCACAAAAUACCUAGGAUUCUACCAACUCAUGCUUUCCACAAAUUUUGCAUUUAAAAUAAAUCAUCACAUAUAUAUAUUAUGGAAAUUUGGAAAUCGACACCCCCUACUCACCUUACAAUAGCAGGACGACACUUUAUCGUUAUUGAUUCGAGUGUGUAUCUAGCUAUUUCUACUUGCCGGUCACCCGUUACCUCGUCCGGCAUGCCACCACGGUAAACUUUUCUAGCAAUAAAUUAAACUCAAUAUAUUUAAUGUAUAUCAUUUCCACUUCUCUUUCUCAUUCAAUCAUAAAUCCUCAUUCUAUUAACUUGCAUCUUAACACGUUUUUGCUAAGGUUAUUCAUAUCCUUUGUUUGUGUAAUUCUUUAGAUUAUAAGUACCAGCAACUUAUUCAUAACUUUAGCACACAAUUUAAUCUUUUCCAAUGAUAUUUAUCAAGUUUAGCUAUCAUUUUCACACCAAUAACCUCGCAUAUGGCAGCAAUUAUAAAUCUAAUUUCAUCAAGCAUUUUGCAAGUUUACAUGCACCAUAAUUCACAUUUACUUGCUGCCUCCAAGCAUAACAUCAAUAUUCAUUCAUAUGCACUAACAUUCAUAAUCUUUUAAACCUUUCACAACAACACAUAUCCACACAUUACAUUUUUUUCAAGUUUUCAACUAUCAUAAUUGCAUUUAAUCGUACCCAUGACAUCAAAAUAACACUACACAUUGCAUGCCUUACCUUUGUGGUGAAUUUGACCUUGCAUGCAACCUUAAUGCUCUUCCAAUAUUCCACUCACCAAGCUACCAACAAUUGCACAAUCAUUCCUUACGAUAUUCAUCUAACCGUAGGCUUCAAAACAUAGUGUUAAGCUUGCCGUUUUUCUUUCACCUUGAACCCAUUAUGCACCCACAAGUUUGGUGGCUUGCAUGUCACCAAUUUUUCUCUAAUCAAGCUGAUCUUUGCUGCCACUAGACAUUUCUCUUAGUCAUCAACUCAUUUUCAAGGAUUACUCAAGCUAAAAACAAAAAUCCUUACCUUUCCUUGCUUGAAUCACAAAACCGAGCUUUAUACCUCCAUUGACUCUCUAUGGCUUCUCUCUUGAGUAUUGAAGGUUCCUUGAGUGAAACAACAACAUAAAUCUACAAGAUGAGGGAGGAAAUCUCACGGUUCCUCUUGGUUUUUUGCAAAACGGAGCCUUUCCUUCCUUUCUUGCUUUUUCUUUAUUUCUUUCUCUCAUUUCCUUUCUGUUUUCUUCUUUCUUUCCUCUUGUUUCUCUUUUCUUCUUGGUUAUGGGUGGACUUCUCAAGGCCAAGCCUUGAAAAUGGCUUUCAUUUUCUCAUUUUUCUCUCCCAUGGGUGGAUUGCCCAAGGUCAUUCACCUUUUUCUCUUCUUUCCUUUUCUUGUCUCUUUAUUUUUCCUUCAUGGGUGGAUUGCCCAAAAAUUGCUCAUUUUAGCAUUUUUCCUUUUUCCUUUUAUGUGGCAAAAUUGCAAGUCAAAAGGCCUUUGAACCAUUCCACUUGUCGUUCACUUUUCAUUGUCCAUUCUUUCUUCAUUUCUUUUUCAUCUCUUAUUUACAUGCCAUGCCAUUCAAUUACCUUUCUUUGUUUUCUUUCUAUUAAAUAUUAUAUUUAUGCCUUUUCUUCUCAAAUCACAUCACCUUAUUUACUUGUUUACAUGGGCUAUCUUUGCCAAACCAUGGUUUUCUCUAAUUAAAUAUUUUUUGAUUCUUUUUCUCUUGUCAACUUUCACAUGGUGGGGUACCAUAUGUUUUGUCACGACUCGGUACUCCCCUCGAGCCCGUGACAACCUCCACGACGUCUCGGUAGACAUUCGUUACCCGAAAUGCCAACCGGAACCCCGCAAGGCUUUAGUACCUUUUUUUUUCAUCUCCCCUGUGAGUAAUCAUCGCCAAACCACGUUUUUAAAAAAUUUUAAGCUUUUUCCCUUUCAAAACCGUGAAAAAAUAAUUUUCGCCUCACAGGGGCGUUUUUGUCAUUUUUCCUUAAAAUUUUCUAAACCUGACUAAAAAUGUAGUAGAUGACUGAAAAACACAUAUUUCAUGAUUUAAAAUAGAUUUGGGCGUCUAAAACAUUUAUUAAAAAUGACAUUGCAACUAUUUAAAUAAAAUAAUAAUAUUUUAUAAAAUAUUCUAAUUGCUUGUAAAACAAUAUUUAUAGUCAUCGGUAAAUAUUUUUUGUAAUGUAAAAGCUAAAUAAAUUCAUACGUACUAUAAUACAAAUAACCGGGAUAUGAAAUUUACUUUACAGUGACUCGUGGGCCAACAAGGAACAAAAGUGCACAAAGGCAAUAAACCUACAAUUUUUGGAGUAGUAAAGCCGACUAUAAUCCUUGACGAUAUUUGCUAUCCAUAGGCUACCUCGGGCCUGAAAUGGUUAAAAAGGUGGGUGGUGAGAUUAUAAAAUCUCAGUGAGUAAACAGAUACCAUCUAAAUCAUCUAAAGUCGAGUAAGUGGAGAUAGAUAAAACAGUUUAACAUACUGAAAUUCAUCACCUUUCAACUUGUUUCAACCAAAUAAAAUCAAUUCAUAUAAAUCGAGUAAUUAACAUGGCUUAUGAAUUUCUUAAAACUUUGGCUCGUGCCAAAAAUCAUUUUUAUACCCAGUUAUCAAGGAUGCCUUGAUCGAGGGCUAUCCCAACCGAGUCCGCCAAGGCUAAUAAAAAGUCAUGUACGCAUAAAUCAUAUUUUUAUUUUGAAAACAUAGUCGUUCCUUGGCGUUGGCUGAGUUCUCCCCACGUGGUGGUUGGGUAUGAAGUGAACUCUAAAGUUUGACCUCAGGAGUUACCCUACGCGCCUCUACAAUCGAGGUGCAUAUAUAUGACCAGGUUCCAUGCCCUUAUAAUAGGUUGGUCUACAGAACCAGCCCACUGCAGCAAGCUAAACCCACUAUAUAAUAAAAAUUCAACAGCAUGAUAUGACAAUUUUUUAAUUAUCCAGCCUAUCAAGGCAAACAAUAGUUUAUACAUUUCAACACAAAUACCAAUUUAGCCAUUCAUGCCAAUAUUGUCCUAAGCCAAACAAUUAGAACCAUAUAUUCACAAUACAUCAAAUGGUCUCCAAUUACUCUAUUUUCAAAGCCAUUAUUCAAUUUCAAAACAAUUUUUUGAAAUCAUUUCAUUAAAUCACAUUUGGUUUAUAAAAUCGAAAAAUUAAUCAUUUAAUUCAUUUUCCAUGAAAUUCACAAAAUCAGAUAAAAACCACUUUAGAUAAUUAAGACGAUAGUAAGGUUACUCACAGUACUAGGAGUUCGAUAUACUUCUAUUCUCGAUCUUCAAGCACAAUCUCUUUACCCCUGUUAGAGGGCUCACCACCUAUACAUCGUAUGUGACACGAAUUUCAAUAAAUUGUGUCAAUUUAUCAUAAACUAUUUCAGGCUCUAUAAAUCUAUGUGAAUGCACGAAAUGUGAUGCAAAAUGUGUGAAUAGUCGUUUACAUACGGUAUUCGAUCUAAUUCGCACUAUUCUCGGUGUAAUUGGCUAAAACGUCCAAUUUAACUCCAAAUCUAUUUCUUUCACUUUCUACACUCCAAUUAUACUUAAAAUACCUCAAUGAAUGUGAAUAUGAUUCAAUUUAUCAGUUUGAACCAUAAAUCGCACAUGUCUAUACAUUAGGUAAAAAUUCAGAUUUUCAUGCCAAAAUUUCCCAUUAAAUUUUUAGCCUCACCAAUCAUUAAAUACCACCAAAAUAUUAUGAAAUAUCAUCAAUUUCAACCUCAAUAUCCUCCCUAGAAAAUUCGGCCUCUUGUGGGUUUGUGAAGAACAAAGUGAUUCCUAGCUAGAUUUUCAUACUUUCCAUUACCAAACAACCAAAAACACUUAAUUAGCUUGAAAUCUAGCAAAAUCAAUGCUCAAAACCUCUCCUCUCAAAUUCGGCCAGUAUGGGUUCAUCAUGCAAACUUGAGUUCUAAGCAUGGAAAAUGAAAAAGAAAGCAUGCGUAGUGUAAAUCACAAGAUAAAAUCACAGAAUCUUACCUUUAUUAGCUUAAUCCCUUGAAAUCCCACACUUUUUCUUCAAUUUUCCCACCUAGGGUUUGUGGUCUUUCCUUUCCUCUUCACUUCAUGCUUUGGCC
rnacentral:lncRNA from 1 species